UUUUUUUUUUUUUUUUUAAAUAGAAAUAGUGAACAUAUUACAGUAUGUGGCUACGUUAGCAUUAGCCUCGAGCUUGCUAGCCAACAAAUGGUUGCCACUUGUCAUCAAACAUGACGUCACAAAAGACACCACUGCUUCUCGCCAAUGACCGAAGCAAAACACCUACAACAGCGGUGUAACAGUGUAUCCGGCCACCAGAGGGUGCAGACAAUGUGCCCCCAUCGCCCAUCCUCCUUGAACCAAAGAAGCCUCCGGAAGUUGCAUGGACAAGAGAUGAGGCAAGCAGACUCAGGCUUUGUCCACAUAAACACAGAGAGUUUCAAGAACACAUAAUUGGGUUUAAAACAAUCUUUAUCCACACAAGUGUAGUUUCAAAAGUGUCUAUGUCUACACACA